UGAGCAAUCUGCCCUUCUCUUUGGAAUAAGCGUUGGAAACGACGUCUAAUGCCGAAUACGACCUCCUUUCGCAUGAUCGGAGGUGGAAAGCUCCGGCGGAGAAGGAUGAGUUCGCGGCCUAUCAGCUAGUUGGUGUGGGUAAUGGCCCACCAAGGCGACGACGGGUAGCCGGCCUGAGAGGGUGACCGGCCACACUGGGACUGAGACACGGCCCAGACCUCCUACGGGAGGCAGCAGG
rnacentral:rRNA from 1 species